rnacentral:rRNA from 1 species
AUGCCUUGUUGCCAUGCCAUCAGUGCCAUAUACAAGAGUGGAAGAAACAUAGCUGACUUCAUUCACAAAUGCUAUUCAGUUGAGCAAUUUAAGAAGAUAUAUGAGCACUGCUUGGAGCCAGUAGAAGGACAAGAGAGAUGGCCUAUCUCUGACAAACCUAGACCACAAGCACCUGGGUAUGUGAGUAUGCCAGGUAGGCCUAGGAAUAAUGACAGGAAGAGGGAAGAGGGAGAAGCACCAAAAGGAAAGAAAAUGUCAAAGCAUGGCACUAAAAUUACUUGCAGCAUGUGUGGCCACAAGGGGCACAACAAGACAGGUUGCCACAAGAAUCCUGAAAAGGGGAAGAAGAAGAAUGCCUUCCUGAAGAAAACAGGCAGGAAAAUGAAGUCAUCUGAGGUAAAUACAAGUUCACUCUCUUGUUUCAAAUAG